GCCCCUCCACCUCCCACCUCGUGCAUACCAUCGAGGACGACACUCUCACCUGGGCUAGGUUCGGUGUCAAAGGGCUGGACAGAAUCUUGCCUCAGACAUAGUCGUAUGUACUUGGGCUAAGCAGCCCGUUUCUUCUACUCCGGACAGCGUAAUCACGCCUUCAUUCGCACUUUUGUAUAACUUCACCCAUUUUGUAAAUUGCACUCCUUCUAUCAAUCAAAAGAUACGCAAAGUCUUGCAUAUUCACAAAAAGCCCUCCACAAUUAAACAAAUAUAAAGGAUUUACUAACUGCAUGAUCUGAAAGAGUUAGUCAGGAUACACAAGCCUCAAGGAGUUAAACAACAAAUGGACUCAAAAAAAUGAUCUAAGUUAAAAAAAAAUUGGAUUUCAACCAAUACAAUCAUCCAAAUUAACAAUAUUGGCCUUCACCGUCCAAUCAUAAGAGUGUGUCGCCGUGAACACUCGGUCAUGCAUCCAGCACUUGAAUGGGUUGAAACUGCCGCGGUGCUCGUCCAAAGCAGGGCCUCCGUCUUCACCAUUUGCACCACGUCCAUCGCCGCUGCCGCCGCCAUGCUCCGCCAUCACAAGAGAGAAUAGUGGGACGACAAGAAGAACGGGAGAAAGUUAGCCUCCACCUGUGCAUUGCACGGAAGGAUCACUUGCACGAAGGUCUUUUUGUGGGUCUCCGAUGAAAGAAGGAUGCAAAUGUUGAAACACACGGUUAAAGGACAUCAGAUGCCAUUCGUCUCCCCCUUUGACACAUCAUCCACUGAAAGUGGCCCGACCUGUUAGUUCGGCACCAGGCCAUACGAGCAAUCGGUACAAUUUGCAAAAAAAAUAAAAAUGCACGCUGUAAUUUGCAAAAGAAAAAAUGUCACAGUUUUAUUUUAUUUUUGAAACAAGACAAAAGAUGUCACAAUUGUAGUGGUUUUGUGCAUUUCAUUCAUGCGCAAAGUGUUUUCCUCGACGGCUUUAUUUGAUCACCGACCAGACAACCAGUGCAUCACCAAACGUGGAAGGAACUGAUGGAAACACUGAUAUGACGUGUAUCGUGUAUAAACCCUAAAUUGUGGCCGACCAAAGGAAAGGAAUGCCAAACAGAACCAACCAUCCAUCGUCACGUAUCGCAAACAACCAGCCACGACAGUCCAGCGAUUCUUUCCAGUGGCCAUCUUUGGUCAGCUAGUGUCGUGUUUAAAAAGGAUCGACAAAAUCCAUUCGUCCAGACAAUCAGCCAUGAACUCAUGUUCCCAUCCAGCAAAAGACAUCAUCCAGAGUUCUACGGAGUAGUAGCAUGCAUUAUUAUCCACACGAAAAAGGAGCUCAAACUCAAAAGGUCCCUUGGUCUCACCAGAACUAUUUACAAAGCCAUGGAGAAGGCUGUCUCGUUCCCACAGUUGGAUAAUAAGACAUCAUAAUACAAGCGGUACAGUCGGUCUGCACACCAAACGAAUCAACGGAAUGGACGGAAAAAAGAGGCAAAAUGAACGAUCUGAAUGAACCUAUCGGACGAGGCUGAGCAGAGGCGGGCGGCUGGAUCGAUCAGCCUCGGGUGGUGACGCGGAGGGCGUGCGGCGGCGGGGGCGNCCAGCACCUCCGCCACCAGCAUCGUGUAGUCCUCCAGCAGCUCCGCCACUAUCCCCACCAGGAACAUCGCCGCCGGUGAUAGGCUCGCCUUCGCCUCGCGGUGCGGUAAGAAAGGGAAUCGGUUUUUCCCUAGCUCGGGAUUUGUGUCUACUCCUUUGGAUGUGGAUGUGGUGUUGACUUGUUACCGUCCGAGGGCAGGCGUCCGCGGCUUUUAAAAGGGGUCGGGUUCCGGCGCGUCGUGUCCUGUGGGCAGUGGACGCUGGUUUUGGAUGGGACGGGGUGGCGGCCCGCCUGCACCCUGCGCGCUCGCUGCUGGUAUGCGCUAGAAU
rnacentral:lncRNA from 1 species